rnacentral:lncRNA from 1 species
CGGACAGGAAAAUAAAAGUGAAGGAAUAAAAAAAACCUAGGGUCCAACGUAAGGUUAGAUCCGGUAAAAGAUACACAAUAGUUUCCGGUGUAGAAACUAUUGUGUGAAAAAUUAAUUAAGUACUGAAAGCUUGACUGAAAAAGAAAAUAGAAAUUGCAAAGAAAAGUAAAAACUAUAAAAAAUAAUGCUGUAAAGUAUGCUUGCACGGCUGGAAUAGAAAAAGCACGAAGAAGAGAG